ensembl:lincRNA Gm37184 predicted gene, 37184
AUUUCAGGUAGUGACUGAUGGGACAGGUGGGACUUGCUGCUUCUGCAAGACCACCCAAGUCAGUGUCUGCGCUGCUAUUUGAGUCUUUACCUGAUAAAUACAAAGCGAGACAACUUUCCCCUUGAGUUUAUAAAAUAACUCUGAGAAAAACAACUCUGAGAUGUUUCUUAAUGUGUGAGCGCUCACUAUAAAGUCCUCAAGAUGGAUAGGAUAACGACAGUAGCACAUUUGUGACAUCUACCAACAUUUGCGAAGCAUCCACCAUGUGCCAGACACGGCGAAGAUGGUGGCAUGCCUUUCAGCAUGGAGACAGAGACCGUUUUCUGAGUCCAGCCGUCUCAGCUAACUGGAUCAAAACUGAGUUCAUGUUCCCAGGCCUUGGAACCCAGCUCCUAUUCUGCUUGUUCAGGUGUUCCAUGUCUGUUAACCAGCAGAGGAUGCAAAAAGGGAAGUUGCUGUUAUCCUGUUGUCUAAACUAAGGUACACAAGUUGUAAAUGUUCUGUCUUCCUUUCAUUGGCUAAGAGCUGCAGCCCUACUCCUUUGUUCUCUUAUCAUUCUAAGUUCCUGGUUGGGGAUUUAGCACAAGGCCCUGGUUUCGGCCAGAUCAGAGUCCAGUGGGAACCUGACUACAAAGGAUGACUAGAGAACC